AAUUUUGGUAUUAUCCAAACUUGAGGGACUGACAUAGCAAAUAUAAUUAAAAUUGAUUCAAUCCCUAUUUGUUUCAUAUUCGGCGGUCGGUGAGCAAAAAUAGAGAGAUCAAAAGGAAAACAGAGAAGAAAAGGCAGCUUAGCAGAUUUUGAUCAUAUGGCUAUAUCUUUACGAUCCAAAAGUCUGAUCGUUGUGAAAUUUGGAUAGCAAGUGCACAACUCAUUGGGCUUCAAAUCUGUAUGGUUAAGAUCAAGAUCCGACAACUCAUCUGUGAUAUAUCACUACCGGAACAGCGACAUUGUUGGUGAGAUGUUUCCUUCCUGUUGGAUUUGGGUUUUAUUCCAAGAUCAUGUAUAUAUUAUUCUUUUAUUUCUCACAUAAGUUUGGUGUUUGCUCUCAAAAAUUUGCAUAACUAGUUAGAGUUUAGAGUGAGUGUUUUGUUCUUGAAUACGGUAGUUAUUAAAUGUUUUCAUAGAUUUGUUGCAAGUCGAAAAAAUAAAGCGAGAAAUUAAAUACUAUCUUCCCCUUUAUCCUUGUUUCUUGGCCUUUGCAUAUCCAGGAUACAAAUGGGUUAAGGUUUUUCUUUUUCUCUGUAAUAGAAUAUCCAUUUACAUUUAAUUUAUUAUAAUUCUUUAUUUGUGUCAACAAGGCCCUGUUUUAUAUGAUUUUGGUGAUGAAAGGGAAGGAAAAUAUUCAAGAAAACCAAUGUUUUUUAAUACAAGGGGAUAAACACAAGUAGGGAAAAAUGAAAACCCUAACCUCGGAUGAAAGUUUCAAAUUAAUGUAUCGUUUCCAUUUCGUCCUUGUUUUUGUAAAUGAGUAUAUUUGCUUCUUAGUUAUAGCAAAUACAUCUGUGUUUUUCUUUAGUUUCUUAUCGAUAUAUGCUUUUAUUCUAUGCUGUAAAAUAACAGUGUUAUUCUAUAGUUGCCAAUAUUUCUAUUUUCUGUUGCUUCUUCAGAUUUCACCUAAUAAUGGGCUUAACGACACGUAGAAGUUCGAGAGCGUCCAUAAUGGAUUUACCGGAGCUCAUCAUUUUAGAAAUUCUACUACAUCUGUCCAUUAAAGGGAUUGUAAUGUGCAAGUGUGUGUGCAAAACUUGGCAACGUCUAAUUUCUAACCCUCACUUUGCCAAGCAUCACUUUGCUCAUUCAAAAGUUGGCAUUCUAAUCCGACCCUCGGACGUUGGACGAAUUUCAAGAAUAAUUUACUUUAUGGAGCCAUCUGUAAUCAAUGUGAUUGAAGCUGGGCAGCAAGUAAACUUGAAGCUUGAUACCAAAUUGAAGAGUCCUUUGCUUAAUGUUGAUGCUCAUGCGAUUGCUUUCAACGAGGGGAAUACUAAGAGGAAGCGAACUAUUAACCUAGACACCAAGAAUCACAAGGUCAUUAUAGUGAAUUCGUGUAACGGCUUCCUUUGUUUGUUUGAGCGCUCCCAUAAUAACCCAACCGUUGUUUGCAAUCCGGUCAAAUAAAUAUCUGACAGACGGCAGUGGGCGCCGCUACAGCGACAGCACAGCGCUGUUGCUAACAGCGCGCGGCGCUGCUGCACACGUAGCAUCACGGGGAGCGCUACAUAUGGCGUCGGCCUCUUCUCUGCCACAAGGCACCUGCUCCAACAUGAGCUGGUGUCGUUACUCCGGGCGGCACUGGAGUGCGCCACCACCAAGAACAGAAGGUAUAUAUAUAUAUAUAUAUAUAUAUAUAUAUAUAUAUAGGUUUCAAUUUCUAUGAGUUUUGGGGAUGGGGGCCUCACGUGUAAAU
rnacentral:lncRNA from 1 species